UGUAAUCAGCUCCUGGUACUGCACCACUCACACUCGCUCUCCUGUGCCACGAAGAUCUCACCACAGGAGGGAAUCUGGCAAAGUGACUUACCUGGACCUAUGUACUGUUCCAGUGUGACAAUUUUUUUAUAUUUACCCACAUUUUUAAUUUCUCUUGCAUUGGAAUUGUAGUUCUCCACUGAAAGAAGAGAGAGAAAAAGUCACAAAAAUUACUCAUCUAAGGAUUUUUUAAUAUACCUUCAAAGAAAAUAACCAGGAAAUCAAAUACUUGGGAGCUUCUAAAUCCAUAAUUAGCAUCUAAAUGAAAGUGGCCUAUCAAUUCACUUUGCAAGAGGUUCCAUCAGAGAAACUUCAUGCCAAUGGGAUUAUCUUCCAUGGAAAUAUCUUAAUCAUAUGCAGUCAUAUAGGAUUUCAUUCUGUUGGCAGGUAGCAUGAGAUGGCGGUGCUAUAAGAGAAGGUGAGAAGGAUAUCUGUGGUAACAAAGAAGAUAAAACAGAUUUUCAUGGGCUGGGAGACUCUCUUAUCCAGCAUUUCCCAACCAAAGGUAGAUGACCCCAGUCUUGCUCUCCCAAUGCAAAUGUACUCCUACAGCUGAGCAUAAAGCAACAUCUGGCUCUUUGAAAGCCAUUUGCCUUCUGUCCCUGCUUCUGCAGCAGCCCCAAUGAAGCUGGAACAUCUUAUAUGUACUGGGCUGCUAGCUCAGACAGCAGUUGGUCCAAGUUUUUCUCCUCUGCACCCACAGAACUCAACUAAGAACCUAUGUGAUCAUGUCCCAUGAGCCAGGAAUUGAUAUUUCUGAUGAGCGAAGAACAAGAAAAGGGAGCUACAAAACAAGAGGAAAAAAUAUAUUUGGAUCAUAAUAGUCAAUAACAUAGAGAACAUAAGGAAGAACCAAGGCAGAUAAAGACAGGACAGAGAAAAUGGAGGAAGACUGCAACUACUGUGGUGGGACACAGGUACCUCUCUCACUAAAUGCAAUUCAUGGUAAGGGAGGCUAUCUGUCUAUGCAUUUUCAUUACCAUGGUA